AGGGCUGUAGCUCAGGGGGACAGCCUCUGCUUCCCAGGCAGAAGGUAUUGGGUUCAAUCCCCAGCAUCCCCA